rnacentral:misc_RNA from 1 species
GAUACACUCAACUUUUACUUCGACUUUGGAGAAAGUUUCAAAUACAAUCGUAGCAUUGUUCACAAAUUAAUACAUACGAAUACAAAAUAUAAAUUACGAUGUGCCCUUCUAAGUAAACUUCCAGCAUGUAUUGUACAAGCAGCCUCGAAUGAAACAUCGCUCCAAAACAUUGGGAAAACAUUCAAUGUUUCGACGUCGACAGAACUCCAUAAAAGGAAGUAAGCUGCGUACUAGUUCUUAAAUCCAUAACAUAGACACUGAUUGAAUAUAAAUAUGUGUUCCUUAAAAGCUCGAAUAAAUAUAGUGUAUAUUUCGUGAUGGAAUUAAAAUUAUUAGAUAAUUAGCAUUGCUUACAUAUUACGCCCUUAAUCGCGUGAGAAAUCCGGA